rnacentral:lncRNA from 1 species
GCAUGUNCACAGCCCCAUCAACCCUUUCACUGGGGAAACUAAAGCCCAGUUGGCCUUGUUCAUGAACCCUGACCUUCUGUCCCCAGGACAGCAGUGAUACAGGACAUAGAGAGAGGAAACAGAGGCUGUGAAGGCAGCAGGGAUACAGGUAAGUGACACUCUUGGAUCUGUGUGGGUCUGGCUGCAGAGCCUGUCCUCUUGGCCAUUUACCAUCACUUGUAUGGCCAUGUUUGUGCAUGAGUGGCUACAUCUAUGUGCCUUCAGUGAGGAUGAUCCAGCACACAGCCUGGCACAGAAUAAGAGCUCAAUAGCUCAAACAAAUUAUAAACAAGGAAACAGGUUCAAGUGUCAGGCUAGGGAUGUAGCUCAGUAGUAGAGCAAUAUGUGUGAGAUCCUGUGAUGGAUCUCCAGCAUGGGAUUAAAAGAAAGUGUCAAGUGUCUUGUCACUUCUGAAGCUUAUAGCCAAGUGGUGGUGGUGGUGGGGCAAGCACUCAAAUGAUCACAAAAAUAACCAACGAUAAUUAUUAAUAAUUAUAACUAUGACAAGGUUCAGAAGGGUAGUGGAUAUUUCCCCAAGGAAGAUGAAGUGACAUGUGAAGGAAGAACAGAUGUGAAUGAUCAUAGCUAACAUGUACUGAGUACUCAGUAUGUGCCAGGCACUGAUCUAAACACAUAUCAUUAUGUACACUUAUUCUCACAGUGCCUAUGACAGAAGUGCCAUUAUUAUCCUCUUCAGGGACAACCCCUCAGGCACAAGAAAUAUAAGUAAACUGCUUAAAGGUACUCAGCUAUUAAGCAGCAAGGUCAGAAUUUAAACCUAACCCCCAGCAUCUGAUUCAGUUUGUUCUUUAGAUUAUUAUGCUGUGCUGUCUCCCACAAAUUAACCAGGUAGGUGAAGGUCCUGGGGUAGGGCAAUGACACCUAAGUAGAGGGAGCUAUACAUGUUAGAGCAUCAGAAGAAGCUGGAGAGGCGGUCCAAUACCAUGCUGAGGAUCUGGGUCUUUACCUGAAAAGCAAAAGGAUACUCUGAAGAGUUGUAGGCAGGGGAGUGGCAUGAAUCAGAUUUGUGGUUCUUUCAGAUCACCCAACUACUGCUUAGAGAAUGGGUUCUAUGGGGACCUGAGUGGCUUGGCAGUUGUGGAAAGAGAGAAGUGAACAGAUCAGAGAGAUUCUGAUGAGAGCUGGAUAUAAAGGUGGGAAAGAAAGACAGGCAAAGGAAACUGAGCAGCUGGUGGCACCAUUUAUUGCGGUAGCAAUGCAAAGCAAGAACCUGGUUUAGUUUGGAAGUGAGGCUUUGGCCUUAGUUAGGUGCCCAAAAGAUUUCAUGUGGAGAUGCCUAGCAUAUGGUAGUCAAGUCUGGCACUCAGGAGAGAGAGGUCUGUGCAGGAGGUAGAGAUUAGGAGUCACUGGCAGAUGGCAGAGACUGAAAUCACAAGAGAGCAUGGGAGCAUGAAGAGAAGGCAAAUGGGCCCAGGCACCACCUGCAUCCUGAGAAGGGUCACGGGAACCCAUGUGGGAGUGUAAGCACACGGGCUUGGUAAGCUGUCACUGAUUCUAGACUCUAUGCUUAGUACCAGUGUCUCAUCCUGGCACCAGGAUGGCUACCGUAUGGGCGUGGAUGGGCUGCUAGUGACAGACACACAGCCUGAGCACAGUGGAAACUAUGGCUGCUAUGCAGAGGAGAAUGGCCUCCGUACUCUGCUGGCUUCCUACAGCUUCACAGUCCGGCCUGCCACUCCUGCCAUUUCCAAUGCCCUCCUGGGAUGAGUAGGUAAUGACUUUUCCACCCUCCUUCCCAGGGCCACCACCACCACUGAAGACCCGUUCUGUGCUCCGGGGUGAUGAUGUCCUUCUGCCUUGUGACCAGCCAUCCAACCUGGCCCGUGCUUUGUGGCUACUCAAUGGGAGCAAAGGCCUAAGUGAUGGGCAGGAUGGCUACCGUGUGGGCGUGGAUGGGCUGCUAGUGACAGACACACAGCCUGAGCACAGUGGAAACUAUAGCUGCUAUGCAGAGGAGAAUGACCUCCGUACCCUGCUGGCUUCCUACAGCCUCACAGUCCGGCCUGCCACUCCUGCCCCAGCUCCACAAGCCCCUGCCAUGCCUGGGGCACAGCUGGCACCAGACGUGAGGCUGCUCUAUGUGCUAGCCAUUGCUGCACUUGGUGGCCUCUGCCUCAUCCUGGCCUCCUCCCUCCUCUAUGUUGCUUGUCUUCGGGGAGACAGACGAGGACGCAGACGGAAAUACUCACUGGGUCGGGCUAGCCGGGUAGGGGGCUCUGCUGUGCAGUUGCAGACAGUCUCAGGCCAAUGUCCUGGAGAGGAAGAUGAGGGUGAUGAUGGGGAGGGGGCUGGGGGCUUGGAGGGCAGCUGCCUCCAGAUCAUCCCUGGGGAGGGUGCCCCAGCUCCACCGCCCCCACCACCUCCACCACCACCGACUGAGCUGACCAAUGGGCUGGUGGCACUACCCAGCCGGCUGCGGAGGAUGAAUGGCAACAGUUAUGUGCUCCUGAGGCAGAGCAACAAUGGAAUGCCAGCAGGGCCCUGCUCCUUUGCUGAGGAACUCAGCCGCAUCUUGGAGAAGAGGAAGCACACGCAGCUCGUGGAACAGCUAGAUGAGAGCUCUGUUUGAGCCCAGCCUCCGGAACAAAUUCUCUUCCAAGCCAGCCUGUGUGCCCCAGGCUGGGCUGCUGCCUCCCCAACAUAGCCACUCUCCUUCACACCCCCUACUCCAUGCCCUUCUCCCACCUUUUUGAUGUCUCUGUAGGGCUGGCCAGUCAGGCCCAGCCUAAGCCCCUUUCUCAGUCUCCAAGACCUAUGUGUGAGCAGCCCAGGCCAACCGGUGCUCCUCAGAGGUAGGUGCUCCCUGGGGACCAGGUGCUCUGCUGAUCCAGACACAGUUCCUAUUCCCUUAACCUAAAUGCUUGGGAGGAGAGUACUUACUCCAUCCUCUGCUUCCAUUAUCUGCCCAACCUUUCCUUUCUCCCAGGUAGGGCUCUGCAGAUCCAGAUGGCCUCAAUGUCACCACCCUCUGCAUGGCCCUGUUUGGUAGAUCAUCCUGAAGCCAGAUAAGACCUCUGCUAGCCACCUGAGCCCUGCAUACAUUCACAUGUGCUCAUGGAAGAAUGUUCAUCAGCUGGGCUGCAGUGCCCCACCCCACCCUACCCUCUCCUGCUACAUUCUUGUGUUUCAUCUCUUCUUCUGGAUUUGGGGUACCCUUCCAAUUGUCACAUCCCUGUCUAGUUAUCUUCCCCAGUCCCCCCUCCCCGCCCCCACAAUGUGUUGAUGCCAUUGGCAAGAGCUUGGGAUCAGGCCAGCCUGGGAGGUAAGACUGCAUCAUUCCCCUCUUCUGCCUUCCUGUGCAGCCCUUGUGAGUCUGCCUCCCCACUCCCCUUGGUCACACCGAAGAGCAACAGAGCUCUAGGCAUGUCCUUUCCCUAUGCAUAUGUGGUAACACACCCACAUCACAUGUGCUUACAUUUCCACCCACAUGCACCUCUGAGCCUCCCCUUGCUGCCUUGGACCUGUGUCUGUCAGGUUUGGUCCAUGGACAUUUCAAAGGGAGAUCCCCCUCCCAUUUAGCUGUCUUUGCCGACCCUUCCCUAGGACGGGUGACCAACACUGCACUCAAUGAGCCAGCUUCCCUUUUGGGGACCAAGCAUUUUCUCCCCCUCAGCCACAGCAGGGAGAGAAGAGGACUGAUGUCUCACCUGGCACACUAAGCCCGUUCUUGGAACUAUGCAAAGGGCAGAGGCUGGGAGUUUGGAUGCUUGGCUCCCACCCCUGUCCUACCUCACCGGGACACUUUCAGAGUCCAGGGGCCUCUGAAGUCUUCAGGCCCAUAUGGGACAAUCAAUUCUGAGCUCCCCCAUUCCCAUUGGGUGAGGAUGACUGUUAUUUUUGUAGCUGAGAACGUGGAAUCCCACGGGUUUUUACUGCCCUUCACCCAACCUCUCCCACCUCCACCCCACAAUGAAUGUAUUUAUUGUGAGAACGGCUGCAGUUCUUUAGGAAUGUCCCCACUCAUCCCCAGGUGGGUGGAAUAGGCAUGUGAGAGUGGGGAGCCUGGGCUCAGCUCCUCCCCCAAUGCUGGUUAAUAAAUAUCUUUUUUCCCCACAUCUCUGAGUAGUCUGAUUGACUUGCC